rnacentral:other from 1 species
GGUUCCCUGCUUGGUGCGUGACAGGCCCAUUUAGACCCACAUUUUUUUAUUGGGAUGCCAGACUUCUUCGUGGGAUUGCAGACCUCCCGCCCCGGCUCUGACCGGAAGCGGACGUUGGGAGCAGAAAACACGCAGAGCAGCGACCCACCUGCCUAUACGUGCAGGUUAUAACUGGGUCUGCACGGCCAAAGUGGGGAACUC